AAUCAAAAUAACUAAAAACGUACUUACUUAACUUCUUUAAUAAAAAACACUUCAACUACCUUCCUCUGCUUAUACGCCACCGCUCGAAGACUGAGCCUGUAACUUCAAUACACGUUCGCAUCGACAGGCCCGAUCGAGGAGAGCAACGGCGAUACCAGCGUCGAGGCCAGGUGUGAAAACGGCCAGACUUAAUGGGCCCUCCCAUCUCCGAGCUAAUUCCACGAUUCCAUAGACCUGAUCUGCAGUAGCGUGCGUGCAGAAAGUCACCUGAGGCAGUUUGUUCCUCUCCUCGGUUCCGCGUAAUACAAACGGUAGAACUCUGUAGGGACUCUUCUCACCGAUUUCAGGGCUCCAGGAUGUAAACCUGCCAUGUACAUGCCUGCUGAGAAAGCAGGUGCUUCAAUUUGGAUAUUUUGAGAACUUGAAUGACUUUUUGAUAUUAAAAUAUCAAUAAUAGCCAAUAUUGGUAAAUAUAAUUCACGACUGAUUAAGA